UACAGAGGUCCCAAGCGUUGUUCGGAUUCACUGGGCGUAAAGGGUGCGUAGGCGGUCGGGUAAGUCUGGCGUGAAAUCUCCAAGCCUAACUUGGAACUGCGUUGGAUACUAUCCGGCUCGAGGAAUGGAGGGAGACUGGAAUACUUGGUGUAGCAGUGAAAUGCGUAGAUAUCAAGUGGAACACCAGUGGCGAAGGCGAGUCUCUGGACAUUUCCUGACGCUGAGGCACGAAAGCCAGGGGAGCAAACGGG
rnacentral:rRNA from 1 species